CUGGAGUGAUGCAGCUUAGCCAAAUCAGACAUUGAUGUGCUCCUUAAAGUGUUUCUUUUAAAGUCUUUAGCAAUGGUAAUAUCUGGA